UUGAACGCUGGCGGCAUGCCUUACACAUGCAAGUCGCACGGCAGCACGGACUUCGGUCUGGUGGCGAGUGGCGAACGGGUGAGUAAUGUAUCGGAACGUACCUUUCAGUGGGGGAUAACGUAGCGAAAGUUACGCUAAUACCGCAUAUUCUGUGAGCAGGAAAGCAGGGGAUCGAAAGACCUUGCGCUGAUUGAGCGGCCGAUAUCAGAUUAGCUAGUUGGUGGGGUAAAGGCCUACCAAGGCGACGAUCUGUAGCGGGUCUGAGAGGAUGAUCCGCCACACUGGAACUGAGACACGGUCCAGACUCCUACGGGAGGCAGCAGUGGGGAAUUUUGGACAAUGGGGGCAACCCUGAUCCAGCCAUGCCGCGUGAGUGAAGAAGGCCUUCGGGUUGUAAAGCUCUUUCGGCCGGGAAGAAAUCGCAUAGGCUAAUACCCUGUGUGGAUGACGGUACCGGAAUAAGAAGCACCGGCUAACUACGUG
rnacentral:rRNA from 1 species